rnacentral:lncRNA from 1 species
UAGUCGGCGAAAAAGCAUGGAAAAUGUGGCUCACACAAUGUCCACAAAUGUUCUGUUGCAGAUUCAAAAGCUGCCUCGCUUG